ACUUGAUUCGUAUUAUCAAUCCAGAAACUGCAAAACUUAUCAGGGAAUGGGGUGAAAUAAAAAAAACAUAUUUCGAUUACCCAAGGAGAUGAAUCUGCGAGAACUAUAUACAAGUCAAGCUUCGGAGUUUCUGGUUUUUUGCACACUCCUCCUGCAAUGUAUUAGAAUAAAAAAAACUUAAGAUGUGAACCAUCUGCCAGCAGGGACAUGGAAUGCUGACAGGGAAGCAACCAGCAAACGAAAGAACUUGUGCUAGAGUAUUCACUCCUGGUAACAUCCCAAGUAAAAAAUGAAGACAAUCUGCAAACAUUUUUUAGAGUGGUUUUAAACGAAAUGCAAACGCGUUCGGGCUGAGUAUGGGCCGCGUUCGGGCUGAGUAUGGGCGCGGGCUUGGGUCGGGCCCGGGCCGGGCCAAUGAGAUACCCGAGCCCGGCCCGAAAUAGAAAUGGGCUUAAUUAUUCAGC
rnacentral:lncRNA from 1 species